CAGGAGAAUCGCUUGAACCCGAGAGGUGGAGGUUGCAGUAAGCCAAGAUUGCACCACUGCACUCCAGCCUGGAAAACAGAGUGAGACUCUCUCAAAAAAUAAAAAAUAAAAAACAUUUUUAAAAACGGAUGUAUAAUUCAGUAAAGCUUCAGGACACAAAAUCAACAUACAAAAAUCAGUAAUGUUUCUAUAUACCAGUAACAAACUAGCUAAAAUAGAAAUCAAGGAAGAAAUUCUAUUUACAAUAGCCACAAAAAUAAAAUACCUAGGAAUAAACUUAACCAAGGAUGAGGAAAAAAAAAAAAAAAAAAAAAAACCUCUACAAUGAAAACCACAAAACACUGAUAAAAUAAAUUGAGAAGGACACAAGCAAAUGGAAAGGCAUCCUAUGCUCGUGGGUUGGAAUAACUAAUACUGUUAAAAUGACCAUACUACCCGAAGCAAUCUAGAGAUUCACUAUAAUCCCUAUCAAUUAUAUUCUUCACAGAAACAGGAAAAAAAACCUGAAAUUCAUAUGGAACCACAGAAGACCCCAAAUAGCCAGAGCAAUACUGAGCAAAUAUGUGUAUAUAUAUGUAUACAUAUACGUAUAUAUGUAUAUACGUAUAUAUACACGUAUAUAUAUACGUAUGUAUGUAUAUAUACACGUAUAUAUAUACGUAUAUAUGUAUAUAUACACGUAUAUAUAUACGUAUAUAUGUAUAUAUACACGUAUAUAUGUAUAUAUACACGUAUAUAUGUAUACGUAUAUAUGUAUAUAUACACGUAUAUAUGUAUAUAUGUAUAUAUACACGUAUAUAUGUAUAUAUACACGUAUAUAUGUAUAUAUGUAUAUAUACACGUAUAUAUGUAUAUAUGUAUAUAUGUAUAUAUGCACGUAUAUAUGUAUAUAUGCACGUAUAUACCUGCCCUCCUACUACAUUCCUUUUUGCUGAAAUAAUAAAGAUAGUAUUCAAUAAAAACUGAGGGAACUCAGAGACCGGUGCCAGUGCAGGUCCUUGGUAUGCUAAGCGCCGGUACCCUGGGCCCACUGUUGUUUCU
rnacentral:lncRNA from 10 species